rnacentral:rRNA from 1 species
GGAAUUUUGGACAAUGGGCGAAAGCCUGAUCCAGCCAUGCCGCGUGCAGGAUGAAGGCCUUCGGGUUGUAAACUGCUUUUGUACGGAACGAAAAGCCUCGGGAUAAUACCCUGGGGUCAUGACGGUACCGUAAGAAUAAGCACCGGCUAACUACGUGCCAGCAGCCGCGGUAAUACGUAGGGUGCAAGCGUUAAUCGGAAUUACUGGGCGUAAAGCGUGCGCAGGCGGUUAUGUAAGACAGAUGUGAAAUCCCCGGGCUCAACCUGGGAACUGCAUUUGUGACUGCAUAGCUAGAGUACGGUAGAGGGGGAUGGAAUUCCGCGUGUAGCAGUGAAAUGCGUAGAUAUGCGGAGGAACACCGAUGGCGAAGGCAAUCCCCUGGACCUGUACUGACGCUCAUGCACGAAAGCGUGGGGAGCAAACA